rnacentral:rRNA from 1 species
UUAAGCGACUAAGCGUACACGGUGGAUGCCCUGGCAGUCAGAGGCGAUGAAGGACGUGCUAAUCUGCGAUAAGCGUCGGUAAGGUGAUAUGAACCGUUAUAACCGGCGAUUUCCGAAUGGGGAAACCCAGUGUGUUUCGACACACUAUCAUUAACUGAAUCCAUAGGUUAAUGAGGCGAACCGGGGGAACUGAAACAUCUAAGUACCCCGAGGAAAAGAAAUCAACCGAGAUUCCCCCAGUAGCGGCGAGCGAACGGGGAGCAGCCCAGAGCCUGAAUCAGUGUGUGUGUUAGUGGAAGCGUCUGGAAAGGCGCGCGAUACAGGGUGACAGCCCCGUACACAAAAAUGCACAUACUGUGAGCUCGAUGAGUAGGGCGGGACACGUGGUAUCCUGUCUGAAUAUGGGGGGACCAUCCUCCAAGGCUAAAUACUCCUGACUGACCGAUAGUGAACCAGUACCGUGAGGGAAAGGCGAAAAGAACCCCGGCGAGGGGAGUGAAAAAGAACCUGAAACCGUGUACGUACAAGCAGUGGGAGCCUCUUUUAUGGGGUGACUGCGUACCUUUUGUAUAAUGGGUCAGCGACUUAUAUUCUGUAGCAAGGUUAACCGAAUAGGGGAGCCGAAGGGAAACCGAGUCUUAACCGGGCGUUAAGUUGCAGGGUAUAGACCCGAAACCCGGUGAUCUAGCCAUGGGCAGGUUGAAGGUUGGGUAACACUAACUGGAGGACCGAACCGACUAAUGUUGAAAAAUUAGCGGAUGACUUGUGGCUGGGGGUGAAAGGCCAAUCAAACCGGGAGAUAGCUGGUUCUCCCCGAAAGCUAUUUAGGUAGCGCCUCGUGAAUUCAUCUCCGGGGGUAGAGCACUGUUUCGGCAAGGGGGUCAUCCCGACUUACCAACCCGAUGCAAACUGCGAAUACCGGAGAAUGUUAUCACGGGAGACACACGGCGGGUGCUAACGUCCGUCGUGAAGAGGGAAACAACCCAGACCGCCAGCUAAGGUCCCAAAGUCAUGGUUAAGUGGGAAACGAUGUGGGAAGGCCCAGACAGCCAGGAUGUUGGCUUAGAAGCAGCCAUCAUUUAAAGAAAGCGUAAUAGCUCACUGGUCGAGUCGGCCUGCGCGGAAGAUGUAACGGGGCUAAACCAUGCACCGAAGCUGCGGCAGCGACACUGUGUGUUGUUGGGUAGGGGAGCGUUCUGUAAGCCUGUGAAGGUGUACUGUAAGGUAUGCUGGAGGUAUCAGAAGUGCGAAUGCUGACAUAAGUAACGAUAAAGCGGGUGAAAAGCCCGCUCGCCGGAAGACCAAGGGUUCCUGUCCAACGUUAAUCGGGGCAGGGUGAGUCGACCCCUAAGGCGAGGCCGAAAGGCGUAGUCGAUGGGAAACAGGUUAAUAUUCCUGUACUUGGUGUUACUGCGAAGGGGGACGGAGAAGGCUAUGUUGGCCGGGCGACGGUUGUCCCGGUUUAAGCGUGUAGGCUGGUUUUCCAGGCAAAUCCGGAAAAUCAAGGCUGAGGCGUGAUGACGAGGCACUACGGUGCUGAAGCAACAAAUGCCCUGCUUCCAGGAAAAGCCUCUAAGCAUCAGGUAACAUCAAAUCGUACCCCAAACCGACACAGGUGGUCAGGUAGAGAAUACCAAGGCGCUUGAGAGAACUCGGGUGAAGGAACUAGGCAAAAUGGUGCCGUAACUUCGGGAGAAGGCACGCUGAUAUGUAGGUGAAGUCCCUCGCGGAUGGAGCUGAAAUCAGUCGAAGAUACCAGCUGGCUGCAACUGUUUAUUAAAAACACAGCACUGUGCAAACACGAAAGUGGACGUAUACGGUGUGACGCCUGCCCGGUGCCGGAAGGUUAAUUGAUGGGGUCAGCGCAAGCGAAGCUCUUGAUCGAAGCCCCGGUAAACGGCGGCCGUAACUAUAACGGUCCUAAGGUAGCGAAAUUCCUUGUCGGGUAAGUUCCGACCUGCACGAAUGGCGUAAUGAUGGCCAGGCUGUCUCCACCCGAGACUCAGUGAAAUUGAACUCGCUGUGAAGAUGCAGUGUACCCGCGGCAAGACGGAAAGACCCCGUGAACCUUUACUAUAGCUUGACACUGAACAUUGAGCCUUGAUGUGUAGGAUAGGUGGGAGGCUUUGAAGUGUGGACGCCAGUCUGCAUGGAGCCGACCUUGAAAUACCACCCUUUAAUGUUUGAUGUUCUAACGUGGACCCGUGAUCCGGGUUGCGGACAGUGUCUGGUGGGUAGUUUGACUGGGGCGGUCUCCUCCUAAAGAGUAACGGAGGAGCACGAAGGUUGGCUAAUCCUGGUCGGACAUCAGGAGGUUAGUGCAAUGGCAUAAGCCAGCUUGACUGCGAGCGUGACGGCGCGAGCAGGUGCGAAAGCAGGUCAUAGUGAUCCGGUGGUUCUGAAUGGAAGGGCCAUCGCUCAACGGAUAAAAGGUACUCCGGGGAUAACAGGCUGAUACCGCCCAAGAGUUCAUAUCGACGGCGGUGUUUGGCACCUCGAUGUCGGCUCAUCACAUCCUGGGGCUGAAGUAGGUCCCAAGGGUAUGGCUGUUCGCCAUUUAAAGUGGUACGCGAGCUGGGUUUAGAACGUCGUGAGACAGUUCGGUCCCUAUCUGCCGUGGGCGCUGGAGAACUGAGGGGGGCUGCUCCUAGUACGAGAGGACCGGAGUGGACGCAUCACUGGUGUUCGGGUUGUCAUGCCAAUGGCACUGCCCGGUAGCUAAAUGCGGAAGAGAUAAGUGCUGAAAGCAUCUAAGCACGAAACUUGCCCCGAGAUGAGUUCUCCCUGACCCUUUAAGGGUCCUGAAGGAACGUUGAAGACGACGACGUUGAUAGGCCGGGUGUGUAAGCGCAGCGAUGCGUUGAGCUAACCGGUACUAAUGAACCGUGAGGCUUAACCUU